ACGUGUUCAAAAAAAAACUCACUCGAUCAUCUACAUUCACCAUCACCAUCACCAUCACCAUCACCAUCAAUUCCAGCACCUUCAAUCAGCAUUAUUUCAACCAGUCACAGCAUACCACACUCAAUGGAACCUUAAAUUUAACUCCUAUCUUGCCAAGAACAUACUAGUUGUAGAUAAAAGUAAGAAAUCCAGUUACAUCAAUCUUGAAUAAAGUGGAGGCAGGCAGAUGGCAUGCCCACACCCAACCCAACAAAGAGCUUAGGAGAUCCUUUUUAUACAAUUAUCCUUCAUUAAAAUAGUGAGAAAUGCCCACAAACCCUCAUAGAACAACACACACACACAAGCGCAUUCUAUAAUAACUACAAAUUGCAAAUGUAACUGCUAGAUGCAUUCAUCACAACCGGAUGCAUAUGUAAUGCCUUCUAAGGAGGUCUAAAAUUUACAUGAAUAAACUGUCUAUAGUUUUCAGUUUCCAUAAUCAAGCACCCUCCUAAAUUCUCAACGGUUGCAACUAUUUUCUUUCUACAAACAACUAUAGGUAAUGUUAUUUAAAUUGGCAGCUUACUUCAUAGUUUAUCUUACUGUCAUUAUUCUCUAGCUACUCAUUUUCACAUAACUAAUUGAAUUUAGCGUAUUAGAUCCUAAUUUAUAUUACAUGGACCAAACUAAUGAGGCUUAGUACCAAUGUCAGACACUUGACAAGAGUAAGUCCCCGUUUCGCCCUCAUUAAUUUUCAUUCCAUUAAAUUUUAUUUCUCUCUCCCUAUUUAUAAUCACACAAUCUUCCAUAAAAUAAUAUUACAUGUAAAUCGAAAAUUUUUCCUUCUUUUUCAACCACUCAUUUUUCAAAAAAACACUAUUUCACCCAUUUUCAUCUUCACAAAAUGGGGGCCAAACAGGGGCUAAGGCGCGUAGGAUCAUUUUUUUAAGCAUAAUGUGAACAGGAAACCUGCUUACAAUCAGAAGAUGAAGUUCUAGGGCUAUUGGUAAACCACUCUUCAGCAAUGGUGCUUACCAUCAGCACCGCUUAGAAGCAAGAAAACACAUACAGAGACAUAAAUAAAUUUCAACAACCUAUCAUCUAUAAACCCAUUUUGGGAGCCUAGUUUUAUUUUUCCUUUUGUUGGAAUAAUUGAGGACCAUUUUACAAUAUUAAAGCCUACCCUUCUAGGUCAAAUGUACUUACUUAGUACCUUAUAAUAACUUCGUACAACUACAACUAGCCACGCAAAAUGGACUACCAUUUAUAGGAAAACUGGUGCUCAGCCCUAAAACACAUUAAAUCGUCAGAUUAUUGCUCCAAAAAUAGAUCGGUUAGCCAAAAUAUUAAAUCCUAGAAUUAUAUAGUUUGCAGGUAACAUUUCCCUCCUUCCUUUUUCAAUCUUUCCUCCUCUACAUAUUAUUCUUAUUCUACUUUAUCGUAUGAGCUUCUGGACUUCGAUCACAAUAUGCAGCCAUAUCCAAUUCCGAUCCAUCUUUUCAUGCCAAGAAAAAUCAAAUCUUUAAAAAGAAUUGUCAAUUCUUCAUUU
rnacentral:lncRNA from 1 species